CUCGUUUCUAUCGACCACUUAUGUUUCCCUUCGUCUCCCUCUUCCUUUUUCUCUUACAUAGAAAAAUUGUGCAGAAAAAAUUUGAUUGUUUUUCACUCUAUCCUUCCAAUACUAGUUAACAAUAAUCACCACUAUUGAUUUCCAUGUUUCCUUCUCCCACGCUUUCACCUUUAGGGUUUUAUGCAAUCUCUUAUUAUCAUUUACCAAACCCUACGUCUAUUUUUUAGUUCAAUCUUUGAUCAAAAUCAUAACUCGUUUCUAUCCUUUUUCGAUUUGAGAAAGUACCAGUAAAAACCCCUUAACCGAAUUGAAGAAACCCCUUAAAAAAUUCUGAGAUUUUUUCAUCUCUAAUGAACAUUCAACUGAUUUGUUUUUUUUUAUAUUAUUUUUUUUAAUUAAGGGUUUUUGUUAGUAAGGGUGCAGAUCUAACUGAUUUUAUCUCUAUGGGUUAUUCAGGAUUCAAAAUUUCUUAUUGUUGAAUGGAAUUUUGGGGUUUUUCUUUACUCAGUUGGGGUUUCGUUAUAUCUCGAAUUGUUAACUGAGAUGUCAACUCUAAUGAUCAUUGAAGGGUUGAUUUGUCUAGUUCUCUAAGUGAAAUUUCGUUUUGUUUUGAAAUCUUAUCCAUGUUGUUUCUAUUUCUCUCAAUUUCCCAAUAGUAAUGAAGCCCGUAAUGUGUGUUAAUUUUUAUGUUCGUGUGAUUUAUGUUCAUGGUGACUUAAUAGAAGAUUUUUUUCCUGGAUCCCCACUACUUCAGUACAUGUUGAUGAUAUUUAUUCUACUUUGGCCUGAUUAUGUUUGGUUUUCUUUUGUUAUUCUCUUGUUUGUGUAUGCUAGCAGUUGUGAUUUGCUUGGCUCUUUUGAAGUUAGGAUUACUUAAUACACUAAGCUUCAGGAAGUUAGGAUCAUAUUACCAGUCUCAUUCAUGGGUAGAAGAGGAGGAAAGAAGAUUGUUGACAAUGAAGCUUAUCUUAUACAGUUGAAGUCAUAAGGAAGGUACCUGCGAAAAGUAUCCUUUAGCUUUGUUCUGUUUUUCUGUUAUGAAUAAUUACGAUGCGAAAUUUGGUUAUGUCGAUGAAAUUGAUGAACAAUAAGAGGAUGAUAUAUGGAGACGAGUUUUACAGGAGAGGACAAAGAAUGAACUAUGUCUAAUGGAACUGUGUAUAAUGGUUUGUGAUGUUGUUGCAGUGUGAGAUAGAGAGGUACAUUAUUUCUCCAGUGUGUUAGUCUUGAAAAUGUGCAUGCUUGUGAUGGUGGGAGCAAUUUAGAUCCAGGAAGUUACAAGGAAAGAUGAAGCUGCUGGUAAUAUUGAUUUUCCAGUGCAAAUCAAAUUGGUUGUACGUCGUCUUAGCUUGAGCAUGUUAAUUUUCAAAGUCCAAAUGCUAAAUGUAGAUUGUUGGUAAGGUCCACACCCGCCUAGUUCACAUUGAAAACUGUGUUUUAGAAUCUCCCAAAAGAUCAUGCUUAAAUGUGAAUUCUUAUGAAGAUCUGUAUGUGUUACUGCAUCCGUAAAUCCAGCCCCACCAGUUUUUUCACCUGUUGCUGACAACGAGUAUUGGGAUGGAGAUCAGGUAAUAAUUAUUGAAUGAAUACUUGAAUUUUGCUUCUUUUUAUUUUCUCUAUGUACAUGGAGAGCUGAAUGCAUGGUCACCUCUUCAUGUUAUCAUGAAACAAGCUAAAUCCAAGGAUUGAAGAAUGUUGUCAGAUCAGUAUGGAAGAUUAUUAACCUGGAUAAGGCAGAUGACGUGUUUUGAUAAACAAGGCAAGGAGUGUCAAAUCCAUAGACUCACAGUUGAGGAUCCUGUAACAAUUUGUAUAUCGCUUGAGGUAUACUAUUCCCAUCAGCUGAUCAGGUCACCUUUUUCUUGGUUUUAGUUGAUUUCAUUGCCUGUAUAGGUUGGUUUCGACAGAUUGUAAGAAAAUGCAUCUUCAAGAGCUUAAAUUGGUGUGAAUUAAGUAGUUGUGUAGAGUUUGUUGGGAUUUUGGCCUAAGUGUCAUCCCAAUUCACAUGUGAAGUCAGUUAAUAUUGUACAACAAAUUUCAAAUUUGAAUUAAAUGGUGAAUGUUUUGAUCAGCUUAUGAAAUGAUCUUUUAAU